GUUGUAUAGUCAAGUAAUUAAGUGCAUGUGGUGGAUGCCUUGGCAGUCAGAGGCGAUGAAAGACGUGAUAGCCUGCGAAAAGCUCCGGGGAGGCGGCAAAUAUCCUUUGAUCCGGAGAUGUCUGAAUGGGGGAACCCACCUACUUUAAGGUAGGUAUUGCAACAUGAAUACAUAGUGUUGCAAGGCGAACGAGGGGAAGUGAAACAUCUCAGUACCCUUAGGAAAAGAAAUCAAUUGAGAUUCCCUCAGUAGCGGCGAGCGAACGGGGAUCAGCCCAUUAAGUUAUGUGUGUUUUAGUGGAACGCUCUGGGAAGUGCGAACGUAGAGGGUGAUAUUCCCGUACACGAAAGGGCACACAUAAUGAUGACGAGUAGGGCGAGGCACGUGAAACCUUGUCUGAAUAUGGGGGGACCAUCCUCCAAGGCUAAAUACUCCUGACUGACCGAUAGUGAACCAGUACCGUGAGGGAAAGGCGAAAAGAACCCCUGUGAGGGGAGUGAAAUAGAUCCUGAAACCGCAUGCAUACAAGCAGUGGGAGCACCUUCGUGGUGUGACUGCGUACCUUUUGUAUAAUGGGUCAGCGACUUAUAUUCAGUAGCGAGGUUAACCGUAUAGGGGAGCCGUAGAGAAAUCGAGUCUUAAUAGGGCGUUUAGUUGCUGGGUAUAGACCCGAAACCAGGCGAUCUAUCCAUGAGCAGGUUGAAGGUUGGGUAACACUAACUGGAGGACCGAACCCACUGUCGUUGAAAAGCCAGGGGAUGACUUGUGGAUAGGGGUGAAAGGCUAAUCAAGCCUGGUGAUAGCUGGUUCUCCCCGAAAGCUAUUUAGGUAGCGCCUCGGACGAAUACCAUAGGGGGUAGAGCACUGUUUCGGCUAGGGGGUCAUCCCGACUUACCAAACCGAUGCAAACUCCGAAUACCUAUGAGUACUAUCCGGGAGACAGACUGCGGGUGCUAACGUCCGUAGUCAAGAGGAAAACAAUCCAGACCGCCAGCUAAGGCCCCAAAAUCAUAGUUAAGUGGGAAACGAUGUGGGAAGGCAUAGACAGCUAGGAGGUUGGCUUANGAAGCAGCCACCCUUUAAAGAAAGCGUAAUAGCUCACUAGUCGAGUCGGCCUGCGCGGAAGAUGUAACGGGGCUAAAACUAUGUGCCGAAGCUGCGGAUGUAUACUUUGUAUACGUGGUAGGGGAGCGUUCUGUAAGCCGAUGAAGGUGUGUUGAGAAGCNAUGCUGGAGGUAUCAGAAGUGCGAAUGCUGACGUGAGUAACGACAAAACGGGUGAAAAACCCGUUCGCCGAAAGACCAAGGGUUCCAGUCCAACGUUAAUCGGGGCUGGGUGAGUCGACCCCUAAGGCGAGGCCGAAAGGCGUAGUCGAUGGGAAAAUGGUUAAUAUUCCAUUACUUCUGUGUAAUGCGAUGAGAGGACGGAGAAGGCUAAAUCAGCCUGGCGUUGGUUGUCCAGGUGAAAGGAUGUAGGCAUGUAUCUUAGGCAAAUCCGGGGUACUCUAUGCUGAGAUCUGAUAGCAAGCUGUACUUGUACAGCGAAGUGGUUGAUGCCAUGCUUCCAGGAAAAGUCUCUAAGCUUCAGUUACACAGGAAUCGUACCCGAAACCGACACAGGUGGUCAGGUCGAGUAGACCAAGGCGCUUGAGAGAACUCUGCUGAAGGAACUAGGCAAAAUGGUACCGUAACUUCGGGAGAAGGUACGCUGUUGUUGGUGAUGGAACUCGCUUCCUGAGCUGACGACAGCCGCAGAAACCAGGCCGCUGCAACUGUUUAUUAAAAACAUAGCACUCUGCAAACACGAAAGUGGACGUAUAGGGUGUGAUGCCUGCCCGGUGCUGGAAGGUUAAUUGAUGGGGUUAGCGUAAGCGAAGCUCUUGAUCGAAGCCCCAGUAAACGGCGGCCGUAACUAUAACGGUCCUAAGGUAGCGAAAUUCCUUGUCGGGUAAGUUCCGACCUGCACGAAUGGCAUAAUGAUGGCGGCGCUGUCUCCAGCAGAGGCUCAGUGAAAUCGAAAUCGCUGUGAAGAUGCAGUGUACCCGCGGCUAGACGGAAAGACCCCGUGAACCUUUACUGCAGCUUGACACUGAACUUUGACCUUACUUGUGUAGGAUAGGUGGGAGGCUUUGAAGCUGGAACGCUAGUUCCAGUGGAGCCGUCCUUGAAAUACCACCCUGGUAAUGUUGAGGUUCUAACUCUGUCCCGUGAUCCGGGACGAGGACCGUGUCUGGUGGGUAGUUUGACUGGGGCGGUCUCCUCCUAAAGAGUAACGGAGGAGUACGAAGGUGCGCUCAGCGUGGUCGGAAAUCACGCGUAGAGUAUAAAGGCAAAAGCGCGCUUAACUGCGAGACCCACAAGUCGAGCAGGUACGAAAGUAGGUCUUAGUGAUCCGGUGGUUCUGUAUGGAAGGGCCAUCGCUCAACGGAUAAAAGGUACUCUGGGGAUAACAGGCUGAUACCGCCCAAGAGUUCAUAUCGACGGCGGUGUUUGGCACCUCGAUGUCGGCUCAUCUCAUCCUGGGGCUGAAGCAGGUCCCAAGGGUAUGGCUGUUCGCCAUUUAAAGAGGUACGCGAGCUGGGUUUAGAACGUCGUGAGACAGUUCGGUCCCUAUCUACCGUGGGCGCUGGAAAUUUGAGAGGAUCUGCUCCUAGUACGAGAGGACCAGAGUGGACGAACCUCUGGUGUACCGGUUGUGACGCCAGUCGCAUCGCCGGGUAGCUAUGUUCGGAAGGGAUAACCGCUGAAAGCAUCUAAGCGGGAAGCCUACCUCAAGAUAAGAUUUCCCUAGGACUUUAUGUCCUCUAAAGAGCCGUUCGAGACUAGGACGUUGAUAGGUUGGAUGUGGAAGCAUAGUGAUAUGUGAAGCUGACCAAUACUAAUUGCUCGUGAGGCUUGACUAUACAACACCCAAGCAGUUG
rnacentral:rRNA from 1 species